CUCAACAUAUGAAAAGAAGGCAGCAGGCGCGCAAAUUACCCACUCCCGCACGGGGAGGUAGUGACGAAAAAUAACGACGCGGGACUCUGUCGAGCCCCGCGAUCGGAAUGAGUACACUUCAAAUCCGUUAACGAGGAUCGACCGGAGGGCAGUCUGGUGCCAGCAGCCGCGGUAAUUCCAGCUCCGGUAGCGUAUAUUAAAAUUGUUGCGUUUGAAAAGCUCGUAGUCGGAAUUCGGGUCUCGAAAACGUGCCCCAGCACGUUCGGGGCGACGGCGCCGUCGCAGGCGCGCUUCUGGCGCGUCCGCUUCGGUCGUCCGUUCGCACUCCCGGCCCUAUUCGCCGGUGCGUGCGCGGUCGGGCCGC